GCAUCGGUGGUUCAGUGGUAGAAUACUCGCCUGCCACGCGGGCUCUCCGGGUUCGAUUCCUGGCCGAUGCA
rnacentral:tRNA from 1 species